GGGCAGUCAUCUGUUUUGAAUGUGCAGAGCACAGGUUGGUUCCAGAACAAAUUCUGGAAAUUCCCUCUGUAGAGAAGAGUUCGCUCGAAAAUAGACUUCGCGACACCAAGGGAGCUGACCUGCACACGCCAUAUCGACCACGCCUGAUUCGUCCAGGGUGCCGUCAAUGCAUCGUCACCGUUCUGUUCCCAUUCUCGGGAACCUGCAGAUCUGUCUAAGGAAAGCGCUCUGUCUGCUUAGAUAAGCAGGAUACACAUGUACACGACAUGGCCGAUGGUCAGCCAGAGACGCCGGCAGCUCCAGAUAAGCCGUACACGCCUCGGUGUGUGUCUUGGUGUGCCACGGGGGCAACUCUCUCAAUAGGUGAGAGGGAUUUUCUUGACUACGCGAACGAUCCGAUUGCAAAAAGCAAAGGAUUCCGGCCGCUCUAAGAUAUCCUGCCGAACGUGGCCACACCGAAAGCUGGGCAGGUGCUCAUUUUUAAUGGGGAUCUUGUCUUUGAAUGGAUAGGGGCGCACGUCUCCGCUAGUCCGGAGGUCAGAUAAGUGGUAUGCGUUCCUGUAUCGGUAACCCUUUUCGCUUCGGUUUUGUGAUAUCUAUCGGACGAGGGAGACAGUAAGUGCUCAGGUACAGGAAUGGACGGUCCGGCGUGCUCUGCCAUAGAAAAACAGUGUUUCAUGGCAUGCUUUCCUUUCCCGUGUACACUGCAAAUCCGUGGAAAAAAGAAAGGGUGUUUAACUGCGAAUCGUCGUGAUGCACAUCCAUCGGAACACGGACGACGGUGUUUUGGAGUCGUUCCCUUCUUCGUCGAGGAUCUGUGUCCAGUGCCUCAGAAACUCGUUCUGUAUCCGGCUGCAGCUCCACCGUAGAGAUUUUGACGGGGGAACAGCAUGCGUCAGCAUUUUUCCUUCUUGUUCGACUCCUGUCCUUGAAUCGGAUGUUCAGCAGAAGGUGAGAAUUGCACCGUCUGGU
rnacentral:lncRNA from 1 species